rnacentral:miRNA from 1 species
CCCUCCCUCUGGGGAGGAUCUCGCUGGGGCCUCCAAAUGUUAUGGUGCGAACGAUUCUAAGACCCACAGAGCCAAUUGAGAUUAAUUAUGAGCCUUUAUUAG